rnacentral:rRNA from 1 species
UACGGGGGGGGCAAGCGUUGUUCGGAAUUACUGGGCGUAAAGGGCUCGUAGGCGGCCAACUAAGUCAGACGUGAAAUCCCUCGGCUUAACCGGGGAACUGCGUCUGAUACUGGUUGGCUUGAAUCCGGGAGAGGGAUGUGGAAUUCCAGGUGUAGCGGUGAAAUGCGUAGAUAUCUGGAGGAACACCGGUGGCGAAGGCGGCAUCCUGGACCGGUAUUGACGCUGAGACGCGAAAGCGUGGGGAGCAAACAGG